AUUGAACGCUGGCGGCAUGCCUUACACAUGCAAGUCGAACGGCAGCACGGGUGCUUGCACCUGGUGGCGAGUGGCGAACGGGUGAGUAAUACAUCGGAACGUACCUUAUCGUGGGGGAUAACGCAGUGAAAGCUGUGCUAAUACCGCAUACGCCCUGAGGGGGAAAGCGGGGGAUCGAAAGACCUCGCGCGAUUAGAGCGGCCGAUGCCUGAUUAGCUUGUUGGUGGGGUAAAGCCCACCAAGGCGACGAUCAGUAGCUGGUCUGAGAGGACGAUCAGCCACACUGGGACUGAGACACGGCCCAGACUCCUACGGGAGGCAGCAGUGGGGAAUUUUGGACAAUGGGGGCAACCCUGAUCCAGCAAUGCCGCGUGAGUGAAGAAGGCCUUCGGGUUGUAAAGCUCUUUUGUCAGGGAAGAAACACCGGCUCUAACACAGUCCGGGAAUGACGGUACCUGAAGAAUAAGCACCGGCUAACUACGUGCCAGCAGCCGCGGUAA
rnacentral:rRNA from 1 species